rnacentral:lncRNA from 1 species
UACCGAUAGUGGGAAGGGUUCACGCAAUUCAGGAGUGUAGGAUUUCAGCCAGCGACGAACCCUUCCAGUCUCAACGUUAUAGUCCCAACAAAGCAUAUUUUUGCGGCAGGAUGAUGUUUCGACAACUUUUGUUGGCUAAAUCUUUACAUGCCAAGUUAGCUCUUUUCACUAUCAAUAUGCUUUACCGCAAUACAGAAGAAUCCUCACUGCAGGAUUCUGCACCGUAGAUUCUCCACCGUAGUUUGCCUAUACCCUACGUGAUAGGUUCACCCAUGCCGCUAUUAGUAUGCUUCACUGCAAAACACUGUGUAUUACGGUGAAACAUACUAAAGCACAUUUGUCAGUUCACAAUGCAAGGACCCUUGCCCUUUCGCUUUAGUGAUAUUAUGACAUUCAUUAUAAUGACAUAUUCACUGCUAAAUACAUCCACAUUGAAAUGGAGACAUGAACAUUGAUGGCAGCGUGUGUGAUGUUUUAUCCUUUGCUUUGUUGUCAUGUAAUUGUCCGCUGCC